UUAAUUCCAGUAAGAUGUAGAAAUGUUACUCCUAUACAGUUCUGUUCCUUCUUUUCUGUGCUUUUAUUGUUAUGGGUAUUACAUCUAUAUAUGUUACAAACUCAACAGUGCAUUGUUACAAAUAUCUUUUUUUUUUUUUUUUUUUUUUUUUUGGAGACAGAGUCUUGCUCUGUCACCCAAGCUGGAGUGCAGUGGUGCAAUCUUGGCUCACUGCAACCUCCACCUCACAGGUUCAAGUGAUUCUCACACCUCAGCCUCUCAAGCAGCUGAGAUUACAGGCAUGUGCGAUCAGGCCCAUCUCAUUUUUGUAUUUUUAGUAGAAAUGGGGUUUCUCCAUGUUGGCCAGGCUGAUCUUGAACUCCUGGCCUCAAGUGGUCUGCCACCUUGGCCUCCCAAAAUGCUGGGAUUACAGGCAUGAGCCACUGCACCCAGCCACAAAUAUUAUUUUAGUUAAUUUCCUGUCUUUUCUUUCUUUCUUUCUUUCUUUUUUUUUUUUUUUUUUUUUUUUUUUGAGACAAGAUUCCACCCUGUCACCCAGGCUGGAGUUUGGUGUCAUGAUCACAACUCACUACAGCCUCAACCUCCCAGGCUCAAGUGAUCCUUCCACCUCAGCUGCCCUAGUAGCUGGGACUACAGGCAUAUCCCAUCACACCUGGCUAAUUUUUUAUUUUUUGUGCAGAUAAGGUGCCCUUAUGUUGCCCAGGCUGGUCUUGAACUCCUGGGCUCAAGUGAUCCUCCUGCCUUGGCCUCCCGAAGUGCUUACAGGCAUGAGCCACUGCACCUGGCCAAUUUCAUGUCUUUUAAGGAAGCUAAGGGAAGAAAGAGCAACUAUAGGUUUAUAGAUUUUGUUUGAGUAACCUUCUUAGUUGCCUUUUCACAUUAUCUUCAUUUGUUCCAUGGAUCUGAAUUAUCAUCUGGUGUCCUUUCCUUAAUAGACAGUUCUGCUCCCUUCCACCUCCUUUGUGCUAUUAUCAUGAAAUAUUGUGUGUUAUAGCCCUACAAAAUAAUUAUUUACAUGUUAUACAGUUGCUUUUAAAUCAGUUAAGAGAAGCAAUAUACAGUUACACUGCCCUUUUUUUCCUUUAUGUUUUUGAGACGGAAUCUCUUUUGCUGAUUUCGCGAUACUUUCUGUGUCUUUGGCUUUCAACAUUUUCAUUAUCAUGUGUCUGGGAGUGAAUGUCUUUGUGUUUUAUCCUACCUGGAAUUCAUUGAGCUUCUUGGGUAUGUAGAUUAAUGUUUUCCAUCACAUUUGAGACGUUUUCAGCCAUUAUUUUUUCAGAGACCUUUUCUGCCACUUUCUCUUGCUCCUGCCCUUCUGCUACUCCUGUUUUCCAUAUUUGGUGCCUUAUGGUGUCCCACAUUUCUCUGAGGCUCUGUUUAUCUUUCUCAUGUUUUUCCUCUCUUAUAUUUGGAUUUCAUAAUCUCUGUAAAUCUACCUUCAUGUUGACUAAAUGUAUUUUCUGCCAGUUCCAGUAUACUCUGGAGCCCCUCCAGUGAAUUCUUCAUAUUGGUUGUACUUUCCAACUCCAGGAUUUCCUUUUGGUUCUUUUUCAUAAUUUCUCUCUCGUUUAUCUUGAGGACUCUCUAUUUGAUGAGCCAUUGUCAUUAUACUUUUCUUUAUCUCUUUAAGUACAGUCGCAGGCAGUUUUUAUUGCUUGUCUUUUUUCCUGCUUUUCCACACGCUGAAGAUACCAGUUAGAAUUUUUUUAGUUUUCCUGUUCCUGGGAUUGCUUCUGUGUGAUCUAGAAUCAGUCAUUUACCUGUUCAUCCUGGUUUUUCCUCAGGCUUGGGAAUCCUGGAUUGUUCCUGUGGAUGGAUGAAGCAUUUCAUUGUUUGAUGUAGGGCCUAGGGAGGGCUCAUCUCCAAUUCUCAAUGCGUUUCCCCAGGAGGUGUCUCCCAGGAAGGGAGGGCCCACGGUGGGCUCUGCAUUAGGUGGUGGCAGCAGAGCCCAGCAAGCCGCGUGGACCCCGCCCACUUUUCUCUGUGACUUCCCUGGACAGAGCUGCCUUUGCUUUGCUCCUCUGAGUCCCCUAGCAGAUGCCUCAAGCUCCUCCCCCUUUUCUAGAUCCUUCCCCCUUCCUGUGAGCCUGCCUUGUGCCUCUCUGGGCCUGUGGUGCUGUCUCAGCCUGAGGCCAGUGCCUCUGCCGCUGACUUGGUGUACGGGAGCAGGGAGUGCUCGGACAUUGGGACGCUGUCCUCUGCCGGCCUCAGUAGCUGGCCCUUGCCCUGCGCUUCCCGCUGUCCACCCUGAACUUGGGCGGCCACUGGAUCCUUUCAGAUUGGCCUUUAAGUGUUCUUUUCCCUGUUAAUCUAAUGCCAUCGUCUUGCUACAUUUUAGGGACUCCUCAAAAUUCCUAGUCCACAUACCCCACCCCACCCCUUUUUAUUUGAGACAGUGUGUUACUGUGUCAGCCAGGCUGGAGUGCAGUGGUCUGAUCUCCCUAUGUUGCCAGGCUGGUCUUGAACCCCUGGGCUCAAGCAGUCCACCCACCUCGGCCUCCCAAAGUGAGCCACUGCGCCUGGCCAGAUACCCUUUGUUGGUGUUGUUUUGAUUUGAUUCUUAUUCGGAGAAGUAGCUGUUUUCUCUUUCAUUUCAGUAGGAUCCUGAGUGGGCAGUGGAUACAUUUGUUUUUCACCAUUUUAAACUCAAAGGACUAAAGCUAAACAAUGUAGUCUCCUCUGCUCAUUUUCCAUCUGCAGUAGUGAGACUCUCAGUGCCUGGGGCAGCCAGUGCCUGGCGCGUAGGAGCGGCUUCAUCAGCACUGGCUUGGUGCCGAAUGCGUGGCAGUGAAGUGCUGUGCGGCUAGGACCCUCCCCAAAAGCAAGAGCCUGCAUCCCUGUUUCCGCUUCCCCUUCUGUCUCCGUAGAAGCAGAAAGGCACAUAGGUUCCACGACACCGAUUCACUCACUGCAGCCACGUUAAAGACGCGUUCACACUGAAGCACCUGACAGUGACGCUGGGCCAGUGAUGAUGGGUGGCUUAUAUUCUUCUUUAUAGUCUUCUGAACUUGGACAACAGUUUACUUUUAUAGUUGUAGAAAACUGUUAAGCUCUGUUGGAAUGCAGUUUUGAGAGGAAUCAAUUUGUGCAGCUCAGUUCAGUACUCAUGUUUGUUUCCCAGCGGUCACCUUUGUCCCAGUGUCCAAGGUGAGCGGGCAGGCAGAGGUGGACGACAUCCUCGCGGCAGUCCGCCCAACCACAUGCCUCGUGACCAUCAUGCUGGCCAACAAUGAGACUGGCGUUGUCAUGCCUGUCCCUGAAAUCAGCCAGCGCAUUAAAGCCCUGAACCAGGAACGGGUGGCAGCUGGGCUGCCUCCCAUCCUCGUGCACACGGAUGCUGCACAGGCCUUGGGGAAGCAGCGCGUGGAUGUGGAGGACCUGGGCGUGGACUUCCUUACAAUCGUGGGGCACAAGUUUUAUGGUCCCAGGAUUGGCGCACUUUAUGUACGAGGACUUGGUGAAUUUACCCCUCUCUACCCUAUGCUAUUUGGAGGUGGACAAGAAUGGAAUUUCAGGCCAGGGACAGAGAACACCCCAAUGAUUGCCGGCCUUGGGAAGGUGAGCCCUGGUGAGCUUGAGGAGACGAGUUGAUUGCUUUGUCAUCAGUGUCCCCAGCCGCUGUAGUAGGAAUCUGGGGCUUUAGGGAGAUCAUAUUCGUGAUCUCAUAAGCGGACUGAUGAGAAAAAGCCUAGAAUCUGAUUUAUCAACCUGGAGAGCUGUACUUUUUCAGAUCUGUGGAUUAGUGGCACUUGUUUAGCAUUUAAAAGGGAAAAACUC
rnacentral:sRNA from 1 species